GUGCUCACUUCAGCAGCUCACAUGAAAAACUGGAAUGAUACAGAGAAGGUGAGCCUGGCCCCUGCACAAGGAUGCCCAGAAAAUUCAUGGAGUAUUCCAUAUUUUU
rfam:Otolemur garnettii contig050313, whole genome shotgun sequence.